CUGACCACAUGCCACAGUUGACCGUGAGUAACUGAAACCACAGAAAGCAAAACUGCGGAUAGGAGGCACCACUGUAACAGGAUGUAAUGUGGUCUCCUUCUCGAUCAUUAACAACCUCAAUCUGAUCAUGAGAAAUCUCAGGAGAUGUAAUGAAAGAAGACCCAGGAUGAGGACAGCAGGCAGAGUGACGCCUUUGGCUGCUCCAUCCCGAAUUCACUAGGUGCUUUAAUGUGUUACUGAGCUUGCAAAGCUCUGUAGGCAGGGAAGACUCACUUGAGUCCCUUUCAUCUCCAUGGAGUGGACAGAUGAAUCCGACUAAGUAAUGAGGUGAUCUGGAUCUGCGCAUCAAAUCUCUUCCAGAUGAGGCAAACACUUCCUCCAUCCUUGAUGAGUCCCUUUGGGGGCUGUAAAACGAAUGUGAUUUGUUGGAAGCCAUACACCAGUGAGCUCGCUGAAGAGAAUGGGUCUGUUCUGCAAGAUGUGGCACAGGGACUACAAGUGUGGGACCCCUCAACAGCAGCUUUGCGGGAGCCUCAGAAGCCCAACUGCUCUCGGCAGGCAGUCAUCCCAUGACUGCAGACUCCCCCAGGAUGUCUGUGAAGGAUGAUUGCUGAUGACCACUGGUCAAUGCCAUAUGUUGCCCUUUGUAGGAAGAGGAUGAAGAUGGGGGCUCAUGGCACAGCAUCUUGUUUCUUUUCAUCUCCUAGUAGCAGAUCUAGGUUUGAACACACAGGUCAUGCUCUUGCAUGUCUCCCUGCACAUCCAGCAGUGGAGGUUGGUAAAGGCUCGAGGCACACAGGCCUGUAGGGCUGAAACUGUUGUCAUCUUUGUGAAAACCUGUUUCCUGGCUCUGAUAACUCCUACUGGCUCACCAGCCCAGGUGCCUCUGGUCCUGCCCACCCCUGACAAACAUGGUCCUGACAUCCUAAA